rnacentral:rRNA from 1 species
UACGGGAGGCAGCAGUGGGGAAUAUUGCACAAUGGGCGCAAGCCUGAUGCAGCCAUGCCGCGUGUAUGAAGAAAGGCCUUCGGGUUUGUAAAGUACUUUCAGCAGUGAGGAAGGUGGGUAUGUUAAUAGCAUACUCAUUUGACGUUAGCUGCAGAAGAAGCACCGGCUAACUCCGUGCCAGCAGCCGCGGUAAUACGGAGGGUGCGAGCGUUAAUCGGAAUUACUGGGCGUAAAGCGCAUGCAGGUGGUUUGUUAAGUCAGAUGUGAAAGCCCGGGGCUCAACCUCGGAAUUGCAUUUGAAACUGGCAAACUAGAGUACUGUAGAGGGGGUAGAAUUUCAGGUGUAGCGGUGAAAUGCGUAGAGAUCUGAAGGAAUACCGGUGGCGAAGGCGGCCCCCUGGACAGAUACUGACACUCAGAUGCGAAAGCGUGGGGAGCAAAACAGGAUUAGAUACCCUGGUAG